GAUGAAUGGAAACCACACACGCACUCCCUAUUUGUGUACCGACGUUAGGUCAACACACGCAAGUGUGUGGCCUACUAACCUACACACCAUUGACCAACCAAUAAUCAAACCAAACUCUGAAGCUUUGGCUGCUGUUAAUCGGCAGUUUUAACAAAGAACAACUCUCAACAACGGAUAUCUUGGCUCUCGCAACGAUGAAGAACGCAGCGAAAUGCGAUACGUAGUGUGAAUUGCAGAAUUCCGUGAACCAUCGAAUCUUUGAACGCAUAUUGCGCUCGACCCCCCGGGGAAGAGCAUGUCUGCCUCAGCGUCGGUUUACACCCUCACCCCACUUACUUCACAGUAAGCGCUUGCUGCGUUGUAUGACCAGCAACUGGGAUGGAUCUGGCCCUCCCAAUUGAAGCAAUUCGAUUGGGUUGGCUGAAGCACAGAGGCUUAAACUGGGACCCGUACCGGGCUCAACUGGAUAGGUAGCAACACCUUCGGGUGCCUACACGAAGUUGUGUCUGAGGACCUGGUUAGGAGCCAAGCAGGAAACAUGGAAACAUGUACUCUGUAUUCGACCUGAGCUCAGGCAAGGCUACCCGCUGAACUUAAGCAUAUAAA
rnacentral:rRNA from 1 species